UAGUAAUUCAAUGAUAUUUUUUCUCUAAUAUUUUUCUUACUAAUCCAUUCCUUUUUUUUUUCUAGGUCACUAACCCAUAAUUCUUAAACUAGAUCACAACAUUGCCAGAAGAAAAUGAAGAUCAAGUAGCUAAAGAUUUAAGAACUUUGGCUUAAGGGCCUUUGAGAGGUGUCCAAUGUUUCGGUGGAUAUUUGGCUAAUGGUUUCAGAUUUCAUACUCAAGACAUUGAGAAAAAAAGAAAAACUCAAAACUCUGGAGUGAUGGUUAAAGGACUUGUAGAUUCUAAGGAUGUUGAUUACUUUGGAGUUUUGAAUGAAAUAAUUUCAUUGCAAUAUUUAGAUGGAAAGCGUGUGAUAUUGUUUUGUUGUGAUUGGUGGGAUGUUCAUAAGAUUGGUAAAGGUGUUAAGAUUGACAAAGGAGGUUUGGUUAGUGUCAACACAAAGUACAUGUUGCGUACAAAUGAGCCAUUUGUGCUUAUGUCUCAAGAUCAACGGGUUUUUUUAUGUCAGAGAUGGUUUAGAUCCACAUUGGAUGGUUAUUGUUAAAACUGAUCUACGUCAUCAAUAUGAUGUCCCAGAAAAUGAAAACAAUGAGGUGGAUGAGGAGGCGUUACAACAAAGGGACUCUACAUCGUUACAUAAUGUUUACAAUUCGACUCAAGAGUUAGAGGACAUUCCUUAUACAUUUGAUAGAAGUGAUGACGUGAAUGACAUAAUAAUAGAUGAAAAUGACCAAAAUCAACCCAAGGUUUUUGUCAAUGACGGUGAAGAUGAUGAUUUUGAUCAGGCUAGUUACACCGAUAGCGAUGAGGAAAGCGAAGAUGAUGCUGAAAAUAUAGAUGAGGAUGAGGAUGAGGAUGAGGAUAUAGCUUAAUUUUUAUUUUUAUAACUUAGUAUUAUAAUUUUUCUUAGCUAUUAUUUGUAAUAUGUUUUCACCAACUAUUUUAUGCAUUCUGAGUUUCUGAUACUUUUUUAUUCUUGUUUUGGAAAUUUUGCACUCUAUCGUAUUGUAUUGUGUUUUUUUUUUUUUUAUUUAUAUACUUUGUUAUACGGUAAUAUUUAUGUUAUUGUCAGUGAAUCUAUUUAUAGAUAACAUUUUUUGAGAGCAGGUAUUAUGAUGGAAAAAGUUAGUAGGAAUACUUCAAAAAAAAACAAAUCAAGAAAAUGAAUAUGAACAGCAGAGGCUAUUAAGGAUUCAGGCUAACAAGUGUAGAAUGCAAUCCUUGGGUAUAAAGAGAAUUGUUUCUUCCAUGACAAGUUUAGUAGACAUAAAAAAAAAAAAAGAAAAAACCAAGGAAGGGUAAGUCUGUGAACAAGGAAGAUCAAGAUUAUAUUCCUUGCUCUAGCAAUGAAGAAGAAAACAUGAAUAUAGAAGAGGAUGAAUAUGAAAAAGAGGAUCACUUUGCAAUACCAGUAAAGGUACUAUAUUAGUUACUAAUAGUUACCAAUUUUAUACUAACAUAGUCAAUAGUUUAUUAUCUUCUUUAACUCAUGUUUCAAGGUAAGCAUUGCAUAACAAAAGGAAUGUCAAGAAAAGGGAAAUUUAUUCCACCAAUGUCUGUGGCUAAGUUGAAUAUGAAUAAAAAAGAACAAUAAGCAAUGGUAGGAGAUGAAAAAUUCAAAUCACUUUCAAAAGCCAUGAAAGUUGUUGAACAAGGUACUAGAUUAUAUGAAUUGCUUGAAUAAUCUUAUGGCUUAGUAUUUAAUUUAUAUCAAAGUUGGUAUGUUAUUCAAUGCAGUCAUCAGUAAUCAGGACCGAUUGAAUGUGAAUCAUGAAAUCAUUGGUUUAGAUGAAGGUAGAAGCCUUUUUUUCACAUUAUGGUAAUUGAGAAAAACAAACUUAAUUCUUUAUUUAUUUAAUUUUUUUAUGAUUACAAACUAGAUAUACAAGGGAUUGAGAGAAAUGCAGAUGAGUUGAAUGGCAAUAAUGAAGUUGAAAUGAGUGAAGGUAUGGAAGUGUGUUUUUUUUAUUAUUAAUAACUACUUUUGGUAUUAAGUAGUGCUGAUUUUUUUUAGUGUGAAACAAUUUUUUAUCAGAUGGGAAUUUUGUUGAUGAUGAGGAUAAUAAUUCAUUUGAUGAUGAAGCUGUACACCAAGAUUAUGAAAAUGAAGCGGAUAUGGUCAUAUACAAUGAUAAAAUUCGUCGAGUAAGAAAGGAUCGUCGUACCAGAGAACCUGUAUUGUUUCCUCGGGAAAGGUGUGAGGAAUUAGUUGGAGAUAAAAGACGUGCUGAGAUGGAAGGUGUUUUUAAGAGAAAACGAGGGCCUGUUUAUUGUAAAAGUCUUACCUUGUUACCUCCUGGAGAAAAAAAUAUAUGUUCAGUUUGAUGGGGAUGGUGUUCCUAUUGGUGAUAAUGCCUCGAUAUAUACUUCGUUCUUUGGUGUACAAGUUAGAAAUCGUGCUGUCAUUCCUGUACAGGUGAAAGAUUCGACUGAUAUUAAGCCUGAAAAAAUUGAACAUCUUUGGAGUUGUAUUCAGGAAAAAUGCUCGUUUGGUGACCCUGAGUUGAGAAAAGACAGUGUUAUUCAACAUGCUAGAAGAUUAUUCAGAGAUAGCAGGCACAAGUUGAAGAAAAAAUAUUUUAAUGAUCAAAAUUUGAAAACAAAAAUUGAUCGCUUGAAGAACAAGCCUGAGAAAAUGAUUAAAGCGGAUUGGGAAUUUUUAGUUGAGCAUUGGAGUGAUGAAAAGGUUCAGGUAUGGAAUGUUACUCUCAUAUAUGGAUUAUGAUUUGGUAUAUGAUGUAUCUAAAUUAUUUUACCAAAGGCUAAGAGUGUCAAAGCUUCCGAAAGUCGAUCUCAUCAAAAGAUGCCUCAUUAUAAUGGGAUUAAAAAGUUAUGGUCGCUUCAAAGAUGAAUUUAAAAAGAAACAUGGGAAGGAUUGCUCACGAGUUGACCUUCUAAUUGAGUCUCAUAAGAGGAAGUCAAAUAAAUCUGUUAAUUUGGGUACCUUGGCUAAUAACAUGAAUGUAGUGUCUGAGAUGAAAAAGUUAACAGAAGAAAGAGACCAAGGGCAUAAUAACCACACUGAUGAAUAAAUUAUUGAGAAAGUACUUGGUAAAGAUACUCAUGGAUAUUUGCGUGCAUAUGAGCGAGGUAGAAGUAUUACAAAUCAUUUUGGUGUUAAGCCAUCAAAAAUAAAUCUUGCUCACGAGGUAAUUGAGGUAAGAAAAACAUCUGAGCAAGCAGUCCAAGAAGCUCGAAAGGAAGCUGAAGAUGCUAGAAAAGAAGUAGAAAAGGCAAGAAUGGAUGCGGAGGUUGCCAAAAAGGAAGUCGAAGCAACAAGGAAUGAGGUGGAUCAAAAACUUUCUGCUAAUAACAAAUUAUGGGAGAAAUAUCAUAAUAUUUAUUAAAUGAUUAACAUGAUUAUAAAAACUAGAAUAGACCCGGUCCAACCUUCUAAUAUACCAUACGAAUGUGAUUAUAU